AUCCAUGAUACGUGAGGCCAGGAGCGCUUCUUCCCCGGUUCCUCGACCCCUCGCUUCUCGUCGUCACGGUCUUCACUCCUGAGUCGGGAUGCAUGGGUGAGACCGCCGCUGCCGCCGCCUCCCAAGCGACCUCCCCCUCCGUCUCCCAAGCGACCUCACCCUCCGCUGUCGUGUCCGCGAGCAAGACCCCCACCCCCGACGCCAGCACUUCGGCCUUCGUCUGCAUCUCCUCUCGAACUCCGCCAUGAAUGAGAUCCCCGCCGCCGCUGUCGUGGAUCCACCCUCCGCCCCUCUAUCAUGGCCUUUGCUGUGCCUCCCUUGCGAGCCUGCACAUCCUCCUCUGCUUGAUAUUGGAGAGGAAGAAUUGCAGGCCUGCAUCCACUAGCGGAGACGACCUGCUGGAUUUGGUCCUGGGCGUGGGCGAUUCAAGUAUCUUGUCCAGCUGUAGCACUUGAGCGCGGCCGGUGGAUCGUCAAGAUCCACAAGAGCCUAGAGAUGUCAAGCAGAGCCUAUGACAUUGCAUGACCAUGUGUGCAUGGCAUCGGUGCAGUGGCACCUUUGGCCAUUGGUGGCAGCACGAGUGGUAGCGCACUGGUUGAUUGAGAUGACACAUCAUUUAGCAGUUACCAAGUACCU